UGCGCCCGAAGCCAUCCGGCCGAGGGCACGUCUGCCUGGGCGUCA
rnacentral:rRNA from 1 species